rnacentral:rRNA from 1 species
CCCUUAGAUGCUCUGGGCCGCACGCGCGCUACACUGGUCGAUGCAACGAGUUUCUUUCCUUGGCCGACAGGCCUGGGCAAUCUUUGAACAUCGAUCGUGAUCGGGAUAGAUUCUUGUAAUUUUUGAUCUUAAACGAGGAAUUCCUAGUAAACGCAAGUCAUCAGCUUGCAUUGAUUACGUCCCUGCCCUUUGUACACACCGCCCGUCGCCCCUACCGAUUGAAUGGUCCGGUGAAAUCUCCGGACUGGCGUGAGUCGGAGCAAUCUGACAAACGCCGGAAAGUUGAUUAAACCUUACCAUUUAGAGGAAGGUGAAGUCGUAACA